rnacentral:lncRNA from 1 species
UCGGAUGGUAUUGUCACCAAUAGUCCUCUAUAUAGUCCAACUGUGCCGGGACGUAGAAUGGGUACAACCGGUCUUUCUCUUAACAUAACAUAUCAUACAGUCCAACUGUGCCAGGGACGUAGAAUGGGUACAACCUGGACUUCCUCUUACAUCAUGCCAGGGACGUAGAAUGGGUACAACCUGGACUUCCAUACCAUCUCAUGCCGUAGCAUCAUCAUAUCAUAUGAGGACUAAAGGAUCCUCCAAUAACCAAUCCACAUCAACAUCAUAAAUGCAAUGCAACAUAUUCGUGAAUACUAAUGCAAGCAACCUACUAUAUCUCAUGGCAUUCAUGAUGCAUGGAUCAUGCUCAAAAUUCAUAUUUCAUUUA